AAAUUUCUUCACAUUUUGGUAAACUCAUGCAUUUUGAUACGUUUUAAAGCAUUUAUGCACAUGUCAAUGCCUAUUUGUCAAUUUUGCACAUUUCGAUGUGUUUUGGAUCCCCCUUAAUUCAUUUUUGCACUUUUUGCCCUCUUGAGCUCUAUGAAUUUCAAUGUAUUUUGAUGUGUUCUUAGUGUAUUUUCGUGUAAUGUGGUACGUGGUUGAUAAUUCUGAUACGAUUCUCAUAAUUUGUUACGUUCACGUACGAUUUGAGUAUUCACACUUUUGAAAGUAUCUUGAAGUGCUACGAUUCAAUUUGGAUCACUUUAGGCUAUCCUUCGGUGUCAUUAUUGCGUAUUUUGGAACAUUUUCGAGGAAUUUUGGCUCAAUUUUAUACAUUUCGGUUGGUCUAACUAUGAUUAGCCUAUCUUGAUACUUUUUUACGAGUUUUGUUUUGGGGGCAAUUUGGAUUCAUAUUUGUGUGUUUGGCAUCUCUUUGAUGUAUUUUCGUAAUUUUUCCAUUUUUUUGAGGUUUGAGAAUUUUCAAUGUAUUUUAAUUUGUUCUUUGUGUAUUUUCCUGUAAUACGGUACUUGCUCGAUUGUUUUGAUACAAAAUCUUGUAUUUCGUAACGUUCAGAUACGAUUCCAGUCUUAACACAUUGAGAAAUAUUUCGCCCAUCUCGACACAUUUCGGCAAG
rnacentral:lncRNA from 1 species